AUUCCCCUAGUAACUGCGAGUGAAGAGGGAAAAGCUCAAAUUUAAAAUCUGGCAGCUUCGCUGUCCGAGUUGUAAUUUAGAGAAGUGUUACCCGCGUUGGACCGUGUACAAGUCUCCUGGAACGGAGCGUCAUAGAGGGUGAGAAUCCCGUCUUUGACACGGACUACCAAGGCUUUGUGGUACGCUCUCAAAGAGUCGUGUUGUUUGGGAAUGCAGCACUAAAUGGGUGGUAAAUUCCAUCUAAAGCUAAAUAUUGGCGAGAGACCGAUAGCAAACAAGUACCGUGAGGGAAAGAUGAAAAGAACUUUGGAAAGAGAGUUAAACAGUACGUGAAAUUGUUAAAAGGGAAACGCUUAAAGUCCAGUCGCGUUGGUUGGAAAUCAGUCUUGCUCUUUUGCUUGAUGUACUUUCUAACCGACGGGUCAGCAUCAGUUUUGACCGUUGGAUAAAGGUUGAAGGAAUGUGGCAUCCUCGGAUGUGUUAUAGCCUUUGAUUGUAUACAACGGUUGGGACUGAGGAACUCAGCACGCCGCAAGGCC
rnacentral:rRNA from 1 species